AGAGUUUGAUCCUGGCUCAGAUUGAACGCUGGCGGCACGCCUAACACAUGCAAGUCGAGCGGCAGCGAAAUUCGUAGCAAUACGAAUUGUCGGCGAGCGGCGGACGGGUGAGGAACGCGUAGGAACUUGCCUUUUAGAGGGGGAUAACCAAGGGAAACUUUGGCUAAUACCGCAUGAACUCGGAAGAGGAAAGCUGCCUGUUAAAGGGUGGCGCUAGAAGAGAGGCCUGCGUCCGAUUAGUUAGUUGGUAGGGUAAGAGCCUACCAAGGCGAUGAUCGGUAACUGGUCUGAGAGGACGACCAGUCACACUGGGACUGAGACACGGCCCAGACUCCUACGGGAGGCAGCAGUGGGGAAUAUUGGACAAUGGGGGCAACCCUGAUCCAGCGAUGCCGCGUGGGUGAAGAAGGCCUUCGGGUUGUAAGGCCCUUUAGGUUGGGACGAAGCUUAGUGGAGGAUAAUGCUGCUAAGUUGACGGUACUAACAGAAUAAGCACCGGCAAACUCUGUGCCAGCAGCCGCGGUAAUACAGAGGGUGCGAGCGUUAAUCGGAAUUACUGGGCGUAAAGGGCGCGUAGGCGGUGAUAUGAGUGUGAUGUGAAAGCCCUGGGCUUAACCUAGGAAGCGCAUCGCAAACGAUAUGACUGGAGUAGAGGAGAGGGUGGUGGAAUUUCCGGUGUAGCAGUGAAAUGCGUAGAGAUCGGAAGGAACGUCGAUGGCGAAGGCAGCCACCUGGCCUCAUACUGACGCUGAGGCGCGAAAGCGUGGGGAGCGAACAGGAUUAGAUACCCUGGUAGUCCA
rnacentral:rRNA from 1 species